CCUACGGGUGGCAGCAGUGGGGGAUAUUGCACAAUGGGGGAAACCCUGAUGCAGCGACGCCGCGUGAGUGAAGAAGCACCUCGGCAUGUAAAGCCCUAUCAGCAGGGAAGAAAAUGACGGUACCUGACUAAGAAGCCCCGGCUAACUACGUGCCAGCAGCCGCGGUAAUACGUAGGGGGCAAGCGUUAUCCGGAUUUACUGGGUGUAAAGGGAGCGCAGACGGCGGUGCAAGCCAGGAGUGAAAUCCCAUGGCUUAACCCUGGGACUGCUUUGGAAACUGUGGGGCUGGAGUGCAGGAGGGGUAGGCGGAAUUCCUGGUGUAGCGGUGAAAUGCGUAGAUAUUAGGAGGAACACCAGUGGCGAAGGCGGCUUGCUGGACUGUAACUGACGUUGAGGCUCGAAAGCGUGGGGAGCAAACAGGAUUAGAUACCCGGGUAGUC
rnacentral:rRNA from 1 species